rnacentral:rRNA from 1 species
CCUACGGGUGGCUGCAGUGGGGAAUAUUGGACAAUGGGCGAAAGCCUGAUCCAGCCAUGCCGCGUGUGUGAAGAAGGCCUUCGGGUUGUAAAGCACUUUCAGUGGGGAAGAAAGCCUUGAGGCUAAUACCCUCGAGGAAGGACAUCACCCACAGAAGAAGCACUGGCUAACUCCGUGCCAGCAGCCGCGGUAAUACGGAGGGUGCGAGCGUUAAUCGGAAUUACUGGGCGUAAAGCGCGCGUAGGCGGUCUGAUAAGCCGGUUGUGAAAGCCCCGGGCUCAAACUGGGAACGGCAUCCGGAACUGUCAGGCUAGAGUGCAGGAGAGGAAGGUAGAAUUCCCGGUGUAGCGGUGAAAUGCGUAGAGAUCGGGAGGAAUACCAGUGGCGAAGGCGGCCUUCUGGACUGACACUGACGCUGAGGUGCGAAAGCGUGGGUAGCAAACAGGAUUAGAUACCCUAGUAGUC